GACUGGGGUGAAGUCGUAACAAGGUAGCCGUAGGGGAACCUGCGGCUGGAUCACCUCCUUAAUCGA
rnacentral:rRNA from 3 species